ensembl:lncRNA
AUGCUCAGGCACAGAAAGGCAGUGAACGCUUCACUGACGCCGCCCUCUAAUCUCGGGGAGCGCCCUGUCAUCGGGCGGCGACAGAACCAUCAGAACCAUCAGAACCAUCAGUACCAUCAGAGCCAUCAGAACCAUCAGAACCAUCAGUGCCAUCAGUACCAUCAGUACCAUCAGAACCAUCAGAACCAUCAGUACCAUCAGAGCCAUCAGAACCAUCAGAACCAUCAGAGCCAUCAGUGCCAUCAGUACCAUCAGAACCAUCAGAACCAUCAGUACCAUCAGUGCCAUCAGAACCAUCAGUACCAUCAGAACCAUCAGAACCAUCAGUACCAUCAGUGCCAUCAGUACCAUCAGUACCAUCAGAACCAUCAGAACCAUCAAUACCAUCAGAACCAUCAGUACCAUCAGAGCCAUCAGUGCCAUCAGAACCAUCAGAACCAUCAGUGCCAUCAGUACCAUCAGAACCAUCAGAACCAUCAGUACCAUCAGAGCCAUCAGAACCAUCAAUACCAUCAGAGCCAUCAGAACCAUCAGUACCAUCAGAACCAUCAGUGCCAUCAGUACCAUCAGUACCAUCAGAACCAUCAGAACCAUCAGUACCAUCAGUGCCAUCAGUACCAUCAGAGCCAUCAGAACCAUCAGAACCAUCAGUACCAUCAGUACCAUCAGAACCAUCAGAACCAUCAAUACCAUCAGAGCCAUCAGAACCAUCAGUACCAUCAGAACCAUCAGUGCCAUCAGUACCAUCAGUACCAUCAGAACCAUCAAUACCAUCAGAACCAUCAGAACCAUCAGUACCAUCAGAGCCAUCAGUGCCAUCAGAACCAUCAGUACCAUCAGAGCCAUCAGUGCCAUCAGAACCAUCAGAACCAUCAGUGCCAUCAGUACCAUCAGAACCAUCAGAACCAUCAGUACCAUCAGUGCCAUCAGAACCAUCAGUACCAUCAGAACCAUCAGAACCAUCAGUACCAUCAGUGCCAUCAGUACCAUCAGUACCAUCAGUACCAUCAGAACCAUCAAUACCAUCAGAACCAUCAGUACCAUCAGAGCCAUCAGUGCCAUCAGAACCAUCAGAACCAUCAGUGCCAUCAGUACCAUCAGAACCAUCAGAACCAUCAAUACCAUCAGAGCCAUCAGAACCAUCAGUACCAUCAGAACCAUCAGUGCCAUCAGUACCAUCAGUACCAUCAGAACCAUCAGAACCAUCAGUACCAUCAGUGCCAUCAGUACCAUCAGAGCCAUCAGAACCAUCAGAACCAUCAGUACCAUCAGAACCAUCAGUGCCAUCAGUACCAUCAGUACCAUCAGAACCAUCAGUACCAUCAGUGCCAUCAGUACCAUCAGUACCAUCAGAACCAUCAGAACCAUCAAUACCAUCAGAACCAUCAGUACCAUCAGAGCCAUCAGUGCCAUCAGAACCAUCAGAACCAUCAGUGCCAUCAGUACCAUCAGAACCAUCAGAACCAUCAGUACCAUCAGUGCCAUCAGAACCAUCAGUACCAUCAGAGCCAUCAGAACCAUCAAUACCAUCAGAGCCAUCAGAACCAUCAGUACCAUCAGAACCAUCAGUGCCAUCAGUACCAUCAGUACCAUCAGAACCAUCAGAACCAUCAGUACCAUCAGUGCCAUCAGUACCAUCAGUACCAUCAGAACCAUCAGAACCAUCAAUACCAUCAGAACCAUCAGAACCAUCAGUGCCAUCAGAACCAUCAGAACCAUCAAUACCAUCAGAACCAUCAGAACCAUCAGUACCAUCAGAGCCAUCAGAACCAUCAGAACCAUCAAUACCAUCAGAACCAUCAGAACCAUCAAUACCAUCAGAACCAUCAGUACCAUCAGAGCCAUCAGUGCCAUCAGUGCCAUCAGAACCAUCAGAACCAUCAGUACCAUCAGUGCCAUCAGAACCAUCAGUGCCAUCAGAACCAUCAGAACCAUCAGAACCAUCAAUACCAUCAGAACCAUCAGAACCAUCAGAACCAUCAGUACCAUCAGUGCCAUCAGUGCCAUCAGUACCAUCAGAACCAUCAGAACCAUCAGUACCAUCAGUGCCAUCAGAACCAUCAGAACCAUCAGUACCAUCAGUGCCAUCAGUACCAUCAGUACCAUCAGAACCAUCAGAACCAUCAAUACCAUCAGAACCAUCAGUACCAUCAGAGCCAUCAGUGCCAUCAGAACCAUCAGAACCAUCAGUGCCAUCAGUACCAUCAGAACCAUCAGAACCAUCAGUACCAUCAGUGCCAUCAGAACCAUCAGUACCAUCAGAACCAUCAAUACCAUCAGAACCAUCAGAACCAUCAGUACCAUCAGAGCCAUCAGUGCCAUCAGAACCAUCAGAACCAUCAGUACCAUCAGAACCAUCAGAACCAUCAGUACCAUCAGUGCCAUCAGAACCAUCAGUACCAUCAGAGCCAUCAGAACCAUCAAUACCAUCAGAACCAUCAGAACCAUCAGUACCAUCAGAGCCAUCAGAACCAUCAGUACCAUCAGAACCAUCAGAACCAUCAGUACCAUCAGAACCAUCAGUGCACACAGUGA